CCUUCCUCUCCUGGCUGUGGUCAGUGCUGGAUGCUGCUGCUGGUUCUGUGUCCAGCGUGUUCACUCAUCACCGCCCUCAUCUCCUCCAUCUGCACACACUGCUUCUUCCACAAAAGAGAGGCUAAGAAGAUGGAGUUCUACCCAAGUACCACUAACAGGAAAGACAGAAGAAGAAAAGAGGAUGGGGACCUGUGCUAUGCUUCACUGGAUCUACCUCCUGGAGGACACAAACCAAGACCCAAGAAAAAGACACGGCAAAACAAUGACUUUAGCACCUACUCAGACAUCAGAACUGGCAUAGAGUUACGCUAACAAUGAUGAGUAGACGUGAAUGGCCAUUAGAGACAUUACUCUAUGGGGUGGCAUACAGGUGGAGCUGUCUCAUUUUGGUAACUU